rnacentral:sRNA from 1 species
AUCCCCUUUCCAUGGUAGGAUACAGGCCGACCCUGGUGGUAACGGGUAACGGGGUGUUAGGGCACGACACCGGAGAGGGAGCCUGAGAAACGGCUACCACAUCCAAGGAUGGCAGCAGGCGCGCAAAUUACCCAAUCCCGACACGGGGAGGUAGUGACGAUAAAUAACAAUACGGGGUUCUUUCGGAUCUCGUAAUUGGAAUGAGUACAAUUUAAAUCUCUUAACGAGGAACAAUUGGAGGGCAAGUCUGGUGCCCGCAGCCGCGGUAAUUCCAGCUCCAAUAGCGUAUAUCAAAGUUGUUGCAGUUAAGAAGCUCGUAUUUGAAUUUCGGGGUUAGUAGGCUGGUCGUGCCACCGGUACGUACUGGUCUUACUGAUUCCUCCUUCCUGAUGAACUGUAAUGCCAUUAAUUUGGUGUUGCAGGAAAUCUGGACUGUUACUUUGAAAAAAUUACAGUGUUUAAAGCAGGCUAACGCUUGAAUACAUUAGCAUGGAAUAAUGAAAUAUGACGUUCCAUCCUACUUUGUUGGUUUCUAUGAUUGACCUACUGAUUAAUAGGGAUAAUUGGGGGCAUUAUUAUUCAUUUGUCAGAGGUGAAAUUCUUGGAUUUAUUGAAGACUAACUACUGCGAAAGCAUUUGCCAAGGAUGUUGUCAUUACUCAAGGACGAAAGUUAUGGGAUCGAAGACCAUCAGAUACCGUCCUAGUCUUAACCAUAAACUAUGCCGACUACGGAUCGGAUGAUGUGAAUUAUUUAAUGACUCAUUCUGCGCCUUACGGGAAACCACAGUGUUUGGGUUC